AGGAAAUUGGAAUCGACGCGAGGCCUGCCCACUGAUUAUUUGAAGGGCCGCGGUAUUAUGACCGUGCAAAGGUAGCAUAAUCAUUAGUCUUUUAAUUGAGGGCUGGAAUGAAUGGUUUGACGAAGUAUUAACUGUCUUAUUAUUAAAAAUAGAAGUUAACUUUUAAGUUAAAAGGCUUAAGUGUUUAUAGAGGACGAGAAGACCCUAUAAAGUUUUAUAUACAUUUAUAAUAAUUUAUAUUUAGUUGUAUAACUUAAUUGUUAGAAGUAUAUUUUGUUGGGGUGACAUAAAGAUAUACUAAACUCUUUAUUUAAUAUACAUUGAUUUAUGGAUGUUUGAUCCAUUCUUAGUGAUCAUAAGAUUAAGUUACUUUAGGGAUAACAGCGUAAUUUUUUUUGAGAGUUCGUAUCAACAAAAAAGAUUGCGACCUCGAUGUUGGAUUAAGGAAAUAGUUAGGUGUAGCAGUUUAAUUAAUAGGUCUGUUCGACCUUUAAAUCCUUACGUGAUCUGAUUUCAGACCGGAUG
rnacentral:rRNA from 1 species